CUCUUCGCUCAUCUAAAAACGACCCCCUUCUCCCUUCCUCGGGAUCCUCGAAUCGGGCACGCCGCUAUACGAAGUUCUUCGAAUAGCGUUUCGCCGGGCCAAGAGAAGGGAAUCGCGCGUUAUAUUCGCGCGCGGAGGGGUGAACGGGCGCGUAGAAAAGGGCGUAACGAGGCCCGAGAUGUCGUAACCGAAGAGCUUUCCCUCUCUCUCUUGUCCCCUCUCUCGAUGGCCGCGGGAUGUGGAAGCGAUCAAGCGACACGUGGCGCGACGUUUCGCGUCAAGUCGGCAAGGCUGCUGGAACGACGACGCUACGCGACAAGAGAUGGAGUCGGCGGCGCGCGUAUACAGAGGUCAACGCGUGCUAAUUAUCCUAGUUCCUAUAGCGGAACGAGUCUCCCAAGAUCUUUAAACGCUGCAUCAAGCGCACUUACUGGCACGCAAAUUCUCGACAGAUGGCUCCGUUGGCACCUUCGGAAAUCACCUACACCAGUUAACUCCUCUUACUAGGGUCGCUAAUUUGCCUAUCCCAGUAGAACUGCGUAAUCGUCAUUGCUGAGAUUCCACAAUGGUAUGCAUACGGUUACUCGUGUGCGCUGUUAAUGUACAACGCCAGCCUCCGUAAUUUUCGUACAGGUACUCUUGCGUCUAACGAUGCUAAGUACGAAUUCUGAUUAGUAAAGCGAAGUAAAAAAAAAAGAAACAAGAGAAAGACGAGAAUCUCCAUGCGUUGAUCGGGUAACUGUAAUUUUGCCCUCCCAGCAGUACAAGGAGCACGAAGGAAACGCAUUUACGCGACAAUGCGCAGAAAAACUAAAAGCGGAGGAGCGUAACGCGAUGAGCGAGGCGAGUGGGCUAUCUCGUGGCACUUAUUAACAAAAAUUAGGCCUACUGGAUCAACCAUCGCCACGAAGUCUUGUCAUAGACACAGAGAGAAAGCCUAGAUUAAUCAACACGCAAGUUUCUAGAAGACGCGCCACGCAAGCUCAGAAAAUACCAUUAUUGAGCAACGGCUCGGCUCCUAAUAGCAUUUGCUCGCUUCCGCGCGGUACAUAUCGUGACGUGAAAACAAUGCUAUUGCCUGUUUCGGUAAUUGCGGCAACUCAUACGCGCCAGUAAGUGCUGAGCAGUACACUCAGACGACGCUAAGAGAGAACGUAUAAUUACACGCCCUUUCCUUGCUUUCCUUCCUACUCGAUAAGUAGGCCACCGAUUAGCCGACCCAAAUAUUACUUUACACGCAGCUUCUUCGACUUCGCUUAGAGCACGAUCAAAUCGCGUUAUCUGCAAAUUCGCGCUGUUGUCAUCUGGUCCCAUAACAAGGCACCUAUACGAUAACCUGAUCGGUCGAUCGAAGCGCCGCCCUUAGAUUUUCUUAAGCGUCAUUUAUUUACCCUCCAUUCUCAAUAUUCCCACAGUCGAAGAGUAAAGCAUACUCUUCUCCACACGUUGCACAGUUCCAAGAAGGUCUCAAGUCUUCAACUCCUCGAAGGGCGCCGCGCCCCGGUCGUUUUGUAUGCACGACUCGUUCGACCCCUGGAAGCGCAUACGUAUAUACGCAGUGGAACGUGCGACGGGUUCAAAAACACGCCCGCGCGAAAAACGCGCGUUUCCUAACACCUCUUUAAAAAAAAAAAAAAAAAAAAAAAAACGGGCGAAACCUCUGCUCCUCUGGGAGCGGAACGGACAUUCAAUCCUACAAGUACAAAAACACCACGCGGCCAGCCAGAUGUCGCAGCGGUGUGCGUAUGUCGACGAAAUGCAAAUGCCGCGAUGAAGCAAGCAAACGACCGUGACGCGCCACGCAAGCGUAUACCUUGCGACGAGAUAAAGAAAAAGGAAAGAAAGAAACCGCUUACACAACGCCGAGCGCGCGGACGGAGUUUCACGCAGGCGAAAGCAGCCGACUCGGGAGAAGCGUUCAAAGCGCAGAGCAGAGUCGAAGCAUCCGUGUGAGAAAGAAAGAAAAACUGCGAGAGAAAAGGCCGAACGCUCUGUACACGCCGGUGUUGCUGUACGCCCUAUCAGAUUGCCAGCUUUCGGCGGCUUCGAUGCACAAUUAUGCGCCUGCCUUAUCUCUUGACUCUGAAUGAGCUUGAACGAAACCCAAAGAACAACCAUUAGCCGACUGACGCUUAUUCACGAAGCGAAAGACAUAAAAGCCGAAACGGGCAUUCAGUCGCAAUGCAGGGGCUGUUGAAUCCGGUGCUUCUCAAUGAGGACGCGAAAAAACCACAGGAACGACUACAGGGAGCUGAGCAUUACAAUUCUUAUCUUGGCAGACGAAAAUCACGCGGCGAAAGUGUACACGUACGAUUUUACACGUCCCGUGCUCAGUACACUGUGCUCAGCACACGCUCUGUUCUCGUUGCGUUUUCCCACUCAACUACAUCAACAAAGUAAGCAUAGCGAAAUUUUGGCAUACUAUAUAGUGAUUUGGAUUAUCAACCUGUGUGCGACACCGCGGCUGGAGUACUUCCUAAUCGAUUUCUUGCCCCUACACAAUAUAGUAACGCAAACAACAGAACAGCGCAUAUAUUCGGCGGCGACGGGGAACCUAUGGCUGAGAAGGAUCGUAUUACAUGCAAAGUCCAGGGUGCAGCUGGGCACCAAGUCGCGGGAUCGAUUCCCGGCCGCGGCGGCAGGAUUUCGCUUGUGUACUUAAACUAGGCGCCCGUCAAAGAACCCCAGGUAGUAAAGAUUAAUCCGGAGUCUUCCCACAACUGUUUCCUUCAUAGCACCCUGUGCAGUGUUUGUACGUUAAAACCCAAUUUGAAGUUUCUAAGCCUGCGUGAGAAUCAUGACAAGAUGUGCCAUUAAGUACGGCUGUAGCUCCAAGUCGAAAUGAUAUUUGAAAACUAGCACCAGUCACAGUUAAAUUACCCUAAAUCAUAAGCAAUUAUUUACCUCUGGGAGGUUGGAAAACAGCCGGAUAGCAGCACUCAAUGGUGAUCAAGUUAAAUUGUUACCGAACAAAGCGUUUCCGAUGACAACCUAUAUAGCGUCAAUAAGGAUAAUCCAGAAGGUCACAAGGAUGCACAGCCAGCCUAGGUGGCGCUGGCUCAGCGGCAAAAAGAGGACGCGAAUAAGUUCCCAUGCAUGAUAAACCGCCUACCAACCGCCGCAUAGCCUACAGUGGAUGUCGGUGCACGGCUGCGCUCAAGGUCGCGGUUUCGAUACAGGCCGCUGCGGCCGCAUAUCGAUGGGGACGAAAUGAAAACUAAAAAAAAAAGGGGGGGGGGGGGGAGGGGGGGGACUGCCUUGUACUUAAUUUAUGUGCACGUCAAAGCCCCCCAGGUGGUCAAAAUUAAUCCGGAGUCCCCCAUGGGGCUACGGCGUGCCUCAUAAUCAGAUCGUGGUUUUGGCACGUAGGACCCAAGCAUGAUUAAUUAAUGAAACCACCCUGACGCGCGCGGACCACUUGCGCCCGAUUUACCUCUAGUGAUAUUUGUUAUAAAACUCCACGACGAGCACAUGACCUCCUAGAUCAGGGGACGUAUUCUGCGACGAUCACUUUCGGCGACAGUGUCGCCUCGACGACAGUAUCACCGUCAGGCGCGCGUUGAUUGGCUGGUCGAGCGAAAUUGGAUGGCGUAGUGCUGAACCAGCCAAUCAGCUCGUCACAUUUUGCUCAACCAGCCAAUCAGCGCGCGCCUGAUGGCCACGGCGAUAAUAUCGCCGAAGUGGAUCGUCGCAGAAUACGUCCCCAGAUGGCGCGCGCCGCACGAACCUUGGAGCGCAUGGCAAGCAGCACGCAAUACGAUCGUCGCGAAACAGCGACGCAUGCGUCUACUUUAGGCGUUGAGCGUCACGCGACGCGGCAGUGCCGCAUGCCAGUAGCAGAGAGUACGCAAGCUGCGCAAAUCGAGGGCGACGCGGACAACCCCCGGCAGCGCCUCGCAAACACCCGAGGCAUGCAUGCACAGCCCGCGCACGGAGCUGGCUGCGUGUUCAAGCGGAGGAACGAAGGGCUCGCCCACUGCACGCUACUAAAAUUUCGCACCGCUAUCCAUUCAGUCGGCAUCGUGCGCGGGGCGAUCGGAAGCGGGCAGUGGAGGAGACCUUCUCCUGGCUCUUUUUUCCGAUUGGCUAACGCGACUCGCAGCCUUCGCUAUUGAGCACCGAGGCUUGGGCUGUACAUACGAGUUAUUGUAGAUGCAAUGGAGGCGAAGAAGAAGAAACGAAGACCAGAGCUGAAGCGGAAACAUGGCAAAAUAACAGGGCGCGAGAAAGAGACAGACAUCUAAAUAAGGAGCACUGAAUAAAGACUAACAACUAAAUAAAGACCAGGACAUGGCGCUUGUGGUGCACAUUCUGUCUUCGUCCUUUUCUUUUGCUUUCUUCGCAGCGCUAUAGUAUAGCUUUCACUGCACAACACGAAGUUAGUGAGAUGGUGUAGCUCUAGUUUCCGUUACGCUGCCGUUAACACGGGUAGUAGUAGCAUGCACGCACGGCUUCACUACAGGCUUACUUCCCCGAACGUCGCGGGGGCAACUUUACCGCAGAGCACUCACGUGUGCGGAAAAGCUGUAAAUUGUGAAGUCACGGAUACGCGACGAUUUCAUCGCCAGUGCCUGCGUAAGCUAGACUUACGUGCUCGCUUUCAAUGCAGGAACUACGCCCACGCGGAAAUAACACAACUAAACUUACUCGAAAGAGUUUCGUCAAAGCGGAUCGAUGCUUUCGCGAGAUAAAAAAAAAAAGGGGGGGGGGGGGGGGGUUAAAAUGACUCACGACAAAUGAUGACCUGCCUAAAAGCAGAAAAGCCAAAGGAUAUCUACGAAGAUUAAUGCACGGAAAUCUAAUUUUCAGGGAACAAGAGUUGGUAAACAGCCCUUGAAUCUCCGAAGGGGUACGUUUAUCUAUAGACGCGGUCCUGGGAGACACGGAUCAGGUGAAGGAAAGCUGCAAACACACAAGAAUAGGUUGGAGCGCAUAUAAUUAUGAGUAUACAUAAUAUAAUAACUGCGCUAUGCCAGUACUAAAUUACGGGGUCGAAACUUUGAGGGUAUAACAAACAAUAUUGAGAAAGCGCGAAUGACCGCGCGACGAGCGAUUGAACGGAAUAGGCCCGACGUUAACAGCCAGGAAGAGCGGAGUAUAUGCCUCGAAAUGGAGAUAAUCAGAGGUACGAAGGCGAUCUUCUAUAUUAACCUCGUCUUGCGUCAGCCGACCCCAUCUUAUGGCUGUGAAUUUGCCAGCUUCUAUAGUUGUGCUUGCUGUUUGGCUAGUUGGUGCAUGUCGAACAAUGAUGAACUCAAAGCCGAGAACACGAUCACAGAGAGGGGGGGACAAGCGCUCGUCCUGUCUUUACGUCCUCCUCUCUCUCUGUGGUCGUGUUUUUUUUUUUUUUUUUUUUUUGUCGCUAAAUUUAUUGUUCGCUGAUUGCAUUGCCCCUUGCGAAACGGAUGCAGAUGCUAUAAAUUAAGAAGAAAUUGAGUUGAGCGAGUCAUACAAAGCGUAGAGCAGAUAACCGCUGGUUCAUUAUCGUUACGCAAUGGUUGUCAAGAGACGGCAAGUCGACGCCGACUGAGGAUAAGCUGGUGCUAUGAGAUGAGAAAAUUGGAGGGCAUGGGGUGGUAUGUGUUGACAAACAAAAUUCAGAAGAUCGCUAGAGGAGGUCGUUCUGAGCAGGAAAUUAAAAUAACGUGACGUUUACUACUACUACUACUACUACUACUACUACUACUACUACUACUACUACUACUACUACUACUACUACUACUACUACUACUACUGUUGUUGUUGGUGGUGGUGGUGGUGCGAAGCAACCGUCAGAACGAGAUGACCCAUGCGCGAGCGCUUUCCGCGUUGAAAAUGUGAUGUUUUCCGCCCCAGGUUAUCGCUCAAAGUAACAAUCAGCUGGGGAAAAAAUGGGGGGGGGGGGGGGGGUUAGCACAGCUGUUCACCGCCAGUUAUUAGAGAGGUUAACACAAAACACGCAUACGAAGAUAUAGGCGCAGACCGUAAUAUUGAAAGGUGUUGCCACGAGUAUGAAUGAAUGAACGAAUGAAUUAAACAAAUAUAAAGAGAAACCUUCGUGACGACUAUAGGUCGCUGCCGAGACGCUUUUACGCCAACGUAAAAGUGGUACACAGGUGUCGUUUGGAAUACGUGCGCUCGUCGAUUAAAACGAUGUUACAAGAUGUCGCCGGGAAAGCUGCUGUUCGUCCGCGCCUUGCGGUAUCUCGGGUACACAUCUCUCCGCACGUCAAAUUUGGACGUUUCGCGGCCCCAGUGCUGGAGUCUCCCCUAGCGUUUUCUCAUUCCCGUCGCCAUGUUCUAUAUAUCCCGAUGAAAGAGCAACGUGUUUACAUGCGCAGCUGGACGCACGUGCAGCCCGGCCCUUCAUUUAUAUAUAGGCUCAACGUCGCCGUAUGCGGAUUGCGCUACGCGAGAACACCGUAGUAAUAUAUUAUUGUGGCGAUACAACAGACGCUUAUGAGACAUAUGGCGCAAAGGAUCGACAAAUACGGGCAUCUGGGCUUGGCACGAGCUGGUUACCACCUUGGGUCUCUGGCUGCGCUGCUCGUGAAAAUACAUCGUGGUUAUAGUUCCUUUGUUUGUAUCUAUCCGCAAGUAUGCCAUUUUUGUGUAGGUGCGGACGUAAGGAGGAGCUCCGCACGUAACAAUAUACAGCAAACCACUACUAACGCCCCGCACCAAAGUCAAAACUGUGCGCUCUAUUUACUUCCCACUACCGAACAAUGUUUCGCUCCUGUCACGAACAGGCCGCGAAAACUCGGCGCUCGGUGCAAGCGCACUGCGCACCGCGAGGGAACGGAACAACGGGAAGUAAGCGCAGAGGGAAGUGGCCCUCUCAACGCUGGCGCGCACAGUGUUGUUUCUUCGGCGGUGGCGGAUCUGUUCGCGCAAAACAAACCGGGGUUCCCUGCCAAUCAGAGAAGCGCCGCGUGCGUCCCCAAACGCAGUCGCCGGCGCACGAACCAGAACGAGUGGAAAACGGAUGGGGGCGAGGCCCGUGAAUAAAGGGAAGGGGGGAGGCACGGGAGCGAGCGAUCGAAAAAGGACAAAAUAGAAAGAAACGAAACGGAACGAAAACAUCGCGGCCCCGAAAUGGGCCGCCUCGCGGGAGAGUCAAUAGUACACACACACAGGGAGAGGCGCGGACUGGUAGUGCGCGCAUUACAUAUACACAAGAGCGGGGGGCCAGCCAGCGCUACGCCACGCGGCCGAGCGGGGGCCCCAUCUCCUGCAAAUCGACGUGGCGGCGCGCGAUCGAUAUGUGGCUGCCUCGGCAAGGUCGUCCUCAACCGGCGGCCGCGACCUUGGGGACGACCUCAGCGGAGGAGGAGGCUUUCCCCGGCCGCUGCUGCCGCCACCGCUACCCGGAGUGGGAACCCUUCCUCCUCGCCUGGAGUCGAAACACGGCGAGGACCCACGGUGAGUAGCGUAGCUCAGUAAUAAUUUAAGAAGGGCUCACGUUCCACACUGUACACUGGGCAAUACGACGCGGCGAGGAACACCGGAUUAUAUUGGAGCGAGAACUGGCAUCCUAAUUAACGUGCACCGAAAUAUCCGUAUACGAGGGCGGUCUUUAUCAUUAUUAUUUUAUUUUUAUCAUUACGCCCCCUAUCGCAAUGCGACGCCCACUAAGUAAAUUGGAAUAAAAUGCGCGCGCUGAAGUUGGUGAAUAAAGUGAAUAAAAAAAGAAGUAACGAACUCGGAGCCGCGUCCGUUUCUUUCUUUCGUCCAAUUUUCGCGGGGUCAGUUUAUUCAUGUCCAACCAACUAGCCGAAAUCGGUACCCUUACUUAAACCCCGUGCUCAGCCGCAGAGGGCCAUAUAUCAGCCGAGAUAGCGCGGCAGGUGACUGCGGGUACAUGAAGCGGUUCGAGUCAGUACGUGCGGGCUGCUCGACGUCGGAAUGACGGCACGACCCCAGCAAAAAUAACAUAUGACACAUAUGCCACAUACCCAAUAACCUCGCAUGAUACGACGAGAUAAUUAGAUACGCGGCGUAUUAAAUUUUUCUAUUUUUUUAUGGAUGAAAACGAAGCAGGCAUUAGGACACCAAGAGUCGUCAAGGUCGAGCCCUAAAUUUGCACUUUUUUUUUCUCUCUUCCUCUUUUCUGCCGCACCUACAUUUUGAAAGCGACGUACAAACUGCAGUCACGCACAACCCGGUGGCAGCAGCCAACGUGCAGAACGCCGAUUAUAUACACUGCGCAACGUCAAUCAGGGUAGCACGCGACUAUUUCGAAGGUCGCAGCAAUGGUGGAAGCGAGAAACCGGAAUUCGGAAUGACCAGCGCCGGAAAAGGCAAGGAGGAAGGGGAGCUGGGUGUGGAAGCGGUAUGCGGAAGUGCGACGUCGGAACCGAAGCUGGAAAUCGAUACGCCACGAAGCAGCGCCGUUUCCACGAACGUUGUCCGCGCGCAAUAGGAGAGAACAGCAUCUAUAGCGGCAACGUCGCGAACAGUCGAUCGGUCUUGCGGGCGCCAGUGCGCAGUACACGCACGGCUGGCCAAAUCACCGGAAGGGCGAACCUUUUUGACCCGCGAAGACUACAACGCCAGACCAGGGCCCGCAUUCACAAAAACUUCUUAGGCUUGAAUUGUUUGUAAGAAUUUCAGCCAAUCCGGAUGCAAGACAUAUUAUUUAUCUAAGGCGGCCAAGCUAGCCAAUGGCAAAGAACACUUGCGAAAGAAAGGCUUCUGUCAAUCCGGCCCCAGGCUUGCUGCCGAGUAAGGUCGACGAUUUGGGCUAAUUGGCAACCGAACAACUUGAAAAGGCGAGAGGGCGGGAAACGGGAGCCGGGGGAACACAACACAAUGAAUAAAGUGAACCAAACACAUACGCUGAAGGUUUUUCUCUUUUCUUUUCUGGGGGAAGGUAUAGAUCACGGCAGAGCAGGCUAUCCCGAAAUCCCACAUUGUUUCGCCCACUCUCUUCUUUGUGGUGUGUUCUGUGAGCUGCCCAUCUUAUCAAGGUGCAGUUGAGAAUGGGAUGUUCUUCCACGUGAACGUGCUUGAGAUAUGAACUUUUUUUUUUUUUUUGCCCAUAACACAUUGCUAUUUCGCUCUUGUGAGGCGAACGAAAGAAAAGGAAGCAAAAAAAAAGACGUGGCAGCGGAGGUUCUCUCCAGCGCUGCAUGUCUGCACGCGCAGUUCCGCAAGUGGAGAAUAAGGCGCCACUGGCACAGUUCAUUGCACCAACUCUGCCGCGGAUAAAUGAGGCUUUCAGCUAUGCAAGCGACUCCUGCCUCUUUUCGAGUCUAUGCUUUGUAAACAAACAAAAAAGGAAUGAAAUAUAGAAAGAGAGAGAAGAGAGUAAUUGCCUGACAAUUCUUAUCGUAUUUGCCAUGAACAUCGAUCGACACGCGCCUCGGCUCCUUGUCGUAUAUAGUGCUACGGUGUUUUGAACCGCACAGAUAACGCGGAUUAAAAUUCAUCUACAGGCCUUUCAAGAAAGGCCAACAAACACUACUUCCGAGAACGAAGUCGCCGAUUCCAUUCCAGACCACGUGGGCGCCUCAUUCCGACGGCAGUGGAAUGCGAAAACCCAAGUGCGCUGCUGUUACGAAAUAUGACUGAUCCUCGCACGACUGGAUCCCCGCACUUGUGCCGUGUCUGCAGAAACUGUACCGCUUACGUCACUUUUAGAAGUUAGCGCUAGAGCACUAGUGUAGCUGAGGCCGGAAUCGGCAAGAUUAUUGUCGUAUACAGCUCACUGUCUAAGAGAGAGAAUAAACUUUAAUGAGAAUGAUCGAUGGCUCAGUGGUGAGGAUCAUGAACAAAAAUAAAAGAAAUAAAAGAAGAAAGACAAGAACACGCGCAUAACCUGCCGGCCAAGCCGGCCUCGCGCAACAACUCCCGAAGAGUUUAUAGAUCGCAAGGCGUCGUCCUGACGGUGUGUGCUAUGUGCUAAUUGGACAUCGACUAAAUAAAGAAAAUCGAAAACAAUUGGCUUCGGGAAUUCGCACAUCAUGUCGCUCAGCAGAAAAACCGUUAUCGGGCUAGAUAACGUGUACAUAAGCGAGUUUCUCCCUAACAACGAAACGCACAAGGACACACUGAGGCGCAGGGGCUGGCAUGAAGUGACAUUUAAACAGGCUAUUCUCUGUGACGAGGGUGGAAAGUCAAUUGUUCUGUCACAGAGAAAGCGACAGCGGCACGCUAGAUGUGCCGGAGAACAAAAAAAAAAAAAAAAUCAAGAGACUGAAAAGUCCACGUCGCUGACCUCAUAAACGAAGCGUAUAACUCCAAACCAAGGACGUUGGUGUCCACAGACGAGUUGGAUUCAGAACACCACAUGCAAAGAGGAAGGCCCAGACCAGGACCUCGUUUCGCGUUAUCUUUUUUUUUUCCUCCUCUCUCGUUUGCACAUGCCCUGUAGUGAUCACCGUAAUCCCAGUAAUUAAUAUCCGUGAUAGCAGCUCCUGCGUUCAGCAGUGUCAUGGUAAAGAUCGAAGGCUGUCGCUAUUAACAUCCACACUACUUUCAUACAAGGCACUUUUCAGCCAAAGAAAACGAAAGGAAAGAGAAUAUUUCUGGUCUUUACGUAAAUACGGAUGAAUAGGUGAACUAUUUGGUCUUACCACCAGCGUGAAACGACAUCCAGUGCUAAAAGCCGUUAAAAAGAAAAGGAAACAAUGCAAGCGCUUAAUGGGCAAGAUGGGAGAGGCGGCAUCCAGGCAGGCAAUGACGAGCAACUUCGCACGGACACACACGCGCGCGCGUCCUUUUCGCCGUCGACUCGCCGCCGGUAGCCGGCCACGCCGAGAGCAGAGAUCCUCGCCAAGGUCAAAUUUCCCAAGCCGCGCGCGCGCGCGUACCUAAUUGCCGCUCAAGCGUCACUGUCUCUCUCUCUCCUCCAUAAAACAGCAGCAGCAGCAGCAGCAGCA